GGACGGACAAAAGGACCGGGCUUCAAACCCAGUUGAGGGCGUCAGACGCGCUCAGGUCGGUUCGACUCCGGCUGCCUUCCG
rnacentral:tRNA from 1 species